rnacentral:rRNA from 1 species
GUAAUGUCUGGGAAACUGCCUGAUGGAGGGGGAUAACUACUGGAAACGGUAGCUAAUACCGCAUAACGUCGCAAGACCAAAGAGGGGGACCUUCGGGCCUCUUGCCAUCAGAUGUGCCCAGAUGGGAUUAGCUAGUAGGUGGGGUAACGGCUCACCUAGGCGACGAUCCCUAGCUGGUCUGAGAGGAUGACCAGCCACACUGGAACUGAGACACGGUCCAGACUCCUACGGGAGGCAGCAGUGGGGAAUAUUGCACAAUGGGCGCAAGCCUGAUGCAGCCAUGCCGCGUGUAUGAAGAAGGCCUUCGGGUUGUAAAG